UUUAUCCUACAUCCAUCCCAAAACCCAAACAUAUUAUGCGUUAACCUUCUUACAAAUAUUUUUUCUCAUCUUCUUUGUCAUGUACAUCUCACAUCUUUUACUCUAAUCGCUUCUCUCUUAUGUUCUAUAAUUUUCAUCUUCUCAUUUUUAUAUUAUUAUUUUCUCUUCCAAUUAAGUUUUUAUCGCAUUUUUUUCUCUAAUGUUACAUCACCUACGUUCGUUCUCUUUUAUCUUCUCUAAUCUUUUUGUUCCUCCAUUUUUU
rnacentral:lncRNA from 1 species